CCUACGGGAGGCAGCAGUAGGGAAUCUUCCACAAUGGGCGAAAGCCUGAUGGAGCAACGCCGCGUGGGUGAAGAAGGUCUUCGGAUCGUAAAACCCUGUUGUUAGAGAAGAAAGUGCGUGAGAGUAACUGUUCACGUUUCGACGGUAUCUAACCAGAAAGCCACGGCUAACUACGUGCCAGCAUCCGCGGUAAUACGUAGGUGGCAAGCGUUAUCCGGAUUUAUUGGGCGUAAAGGGAACGCAGGCGGUCUUUUAAGUCUGAUGUGAAAGCCUUCGGCUUAACCGGAGUAGUGCAUUGGAAACGGGGAGACUUGAGUGCAGAAGAGGAGAGUGGAACUCCAUGUGUAGCGGUGAAAUGCGUAGAUAUAUGGAAGAACACCAGUGGCGAAAGCGGCUCUCUGGGCUGUAACUGACGCUGAGGUUCGAAAGCGUGGGUAGCAAACAGGAUUAGAUACCCGAGUAGUC
rnacentral:rRNA from 1 species